GUGAAUAUGGAAUGUCAAGAUGUGAUCAUCGCUUGGCAAUCUUUCUGACACAGAAAUUCUAAAGAAAAUAAAUAUCUGUGGUGCUGCUGUGAUCAGUCUCAGAAGCCAAUUCAUGUAGAUUUUUACCCUCCUUGUCAGACAAAACUUUUUCUUGCAUUGUUCACUUGCAAAUGGAGAGCGUCAACAGCUGCACUGAUGUUCU
rnacentral:misc_RNA from 1 species